rnacentral:lncRNA from 1 species
GCUUCAAGUUUCUUCAUCAAAUCAGAUAACAACACUCGAGCUUGUAGCCUUGUCCGGGAGACAGCAACGCAAGGAGCCAAAAUGGUUUCUUUGUUGGAAUGCUUUAAUUCUCCAUAUGGCACAAAAUAUUUUCCUGAAUAUGCAGCGAAAAUUCCUGGUAAAUCCACACAGAAGCUUUCUGAAGUAGCAAAGGAAUACAACCUCACUAGAGGUUCCAUCCCUGAAGAGGAUGCUGGGAAAUUAGAUAACACCUAUGCUGUGUUUGCACCUCAUGGAACUUUACUAGUAAAGCACAGAAAGGUCCAUCUGCUUAACACUGGUGUUCCUGGAAAAAUGACGUUUCAAGAAUCCACAAUGUUGAGUCCAGGCAACAGUUUCUCCACAUUUGAUACUCCUUACUGCAGAAUGAGUCGGGGCAUCUGCUAUGACACUGGUUUGCAGAGCUUGCACAAAUCUACACACGGAAAGGCUGCCAGCUGUUGGUUUAUCCAGGGGCUUUCAGUUUGACCACUGGACCAGCCCACUGGGAAUUGCUUCAGGCUCUUGAUAAUCAGGUGUAUGUGGCCACAUUCUCCUGCCCAAGAUGACAAAGCCUCCUAUGUUGCCUGGGGACACAGCACUGUAGUGAACCUUUGCUGCUAGGGCUCUCAAGGAAGAAACAAUCAUGUAUUCAGACAUAGACCUGAAGAAGCUGGCUGAAAUCCAUCAGCAGAUCCCCAUUUUUAAACAGAAGCAAUCAGACCUCUGUGCAGUGGAGAUGAAAAAG